CCUUCGGGGUUACUCGAGCGGCGAACGGGUGAGUAACACGUGAGCAACCUGCCCCAGGCUUUGGGAUAACCCCGGGAAACCGGGGCUAAUACCGAAUAUGACCUCUGACCGCAUGGUUGGUGGUGGAAAGUUUUUCGGCUUGGGAUGGGCUCGCGGCCUAUCAGCUUGUUGGUGGGGUGAUGGCCUACCAAGGCGACGACGGGUAGCCGGCCUGAGAGGGCGACCGGCCACAUGGGGGACUGAGACACGGCCCAGACUCCUACGGGAGGCAGCAGUGGGGAAUAUUGCACAAUGGGCGGAAGCCUGAUGCAGCGACGCCGCGUGAGGGAUGACGGCCUUCGGGUUGUAAACCUCUUUCAGCAGGGACGAAGCGUAAGUGACGGUACCUGCAGAAAGAAGCGCCGGCCAACUACGUGCCAGCAGCCGCGGUAAGACGUAGGGCGCGAGCGUUGUCCGGAUUUAUUGGGCGUAAAGAGCUCGUAGGCGGCUUGUCGCGUC
rnacentral:rRNA from 1 species